GGAGCUGUGGCCGAGUGGUCGAAGGCGCGCCCUUGCUAAGGGUGUGAACCGAAAGGUUCCGAGGGUUCGAAUCCCUUCGGCUCCG
rnacentral:tRNA from 1 species